rnacentral:lncRNA from 1 species
GACCUGUAAAUUUCACACAGGCAAGUUACCUAGUAGCUGAACAUGAAUUUCUUUGGGAGGAAAAAAAUGGCUAAUAGGAGAUCAACAGCUCAUUUAAAGGAUUCAUUCAGAAUACAUCAGAAAGAUACACCUACAACAAGAUCACUCAAGCCAGUCCUCUGACCUCAUGUGGAUAAACACCCGAAAACUGCAAUCCAGCUGCAAGGUAUCCAGGAACAUCACACAAGAUGAAGCAACCCAAACUUCCCUUUUCUUUCUCUAAGACACAGCACAGUCUCAAGAACUUUUACUAGUUUCAGACCAUAGUCAUUUUAAAACUAUUAUUAUAGAAAGAAGACUCAGCUCAUUACGGAGUCUACUUCCAUUAAACACAGGAUACAAGAAAUUGAAGCUGUAUUGGCAAUAAUUUUAAGGUAACCUCUUUACUCAAAGUUGAUUCAGCUUACUAGCAAGACAACCAUGAAAAAGUCAACUGAGACUGAAAUUUUUUCAUCUGAUAUCAUUUCUGUGUUAUGAAAAAAAAGAGAAAACCAUACUGAGAACUCAAAUGUAAAUAAGUACAUGAGCCAGCA